GCUCGGGUGGCCCAGCACGGACAAGGCAGCGACCUCCUAAGUCGCAGAUCGUGGGUUCAAAUCCCACCCCGAGCG
rnacentral:tRNA from 1 species